rnacentral:rRNA from 1 species
AUGGGGUGCANCNNNGGCGAAACCUCCGCAAUGCGGGAAACCGCGACGGGGGGACCCCCAGUGCCGUGGCAACGCCACGGCUUUUCNNGANNGUAAAAAGCUCCGGGAAUAAGGGCUGGGCAAGGCCGGUGGCAGCCGCCGCGGUAAUACCGGCGGCCCGAGUGGUGGCCGCUAUUAUUGGGCCUAAAGCGUCCGUAGCCGGGCCCGUAAGUCCCUGGCGAAAUCCCACGGCUCAACCGUGGGGCUUGCUGGGGAUACUGCGGGCCUUGGGACCGGGAGAGGCGGGGGGUACCCCUGGGGUAGGGGUGAAAUCCUAUAAUCCCAGGGGGACCGCCAGUGGCGAAGGCGCCCCGCUGGAACGGGUCCGACGGUGAGGGACGAAGGCCAGGGGAGUGAACCGGAUUAGAUACCCGGGUAGUUCUGGCUGUAAAGGAUGCGGGCUAGGUGUCGGGCGAGCUCCGAGCUCGCCCGGUGCCGUAGGGAAGCCGUUAAGCCCGCCGCCUGGGGAGUACGGCCGCAAGGCUGAAACUUAAAGGAAUUGGCGGGGGAGCAC